UAUAUAUAUAUAGAUGGCUAUUUAUACUGUGGAGGACUGAUAAAUACUUGGUGCAGAUUUUCCAUUAUAGUUCAGUAAUGUUUCUAACUGCAGGUCUUUUCAAGCUGUUUAUACGAUUUUAUUUCCAUUAGUUAAGUCACUGUGGGGAAAAAAAUUAUAUAUAACUUGUAUCAAUACAUAUUAUAAUUCUAUUUAUGCUGUGAGACAAAUAUGGCAUACUGAUAUGGUACUAUUGGUGCCUCUCUCUCUCUCUCUCUCGCUCUCGCUCUCUCUCUCUCUCUCUCUCUCUCUCUCGCUAAUUAUUAGUCAAUAAUCUAAGCUUACGUGUAGCUUUAUUUCUGCAACAGCACCCUUUUUCUGUCAAAUCAGUGCACUAAAGAUACCAUUUGAAGAAUAACGGCAAGCAGUAUUGCAUGAUGAUGAUGACACUGAUGCAUGCACAUAACUAUGCAAGUGAAUGUUGCUUAAAAAAAACACACACACAAAAAAAUAUCCUGUUUAUCAAUGUUUCUGUAUUUCUAAAUGUCAGUAGUGGAAAGCAUGAAUUGCCUUUUUUUGUGUAAUUUUUUUUAUUGCUUUUUUUGCACACGUUUGUUGUUUCCUAAAAGGUGAUGAUGGAUCAUUACCGGUAAGCGUUAGGUUUAGCUCACGUUCAAAAUAACAGAAACUCCUCAUGAUAAACUAUAUAUAUAUUUUUUUAUUUUGACUUCUUGUCCUCUCCUCGCUGCGUAUUUUUUUUCCACACAUGUAUAAUUGACCUCAUAUUUUGUAUGUUGAAUGUUGUACCACUAAUACACGAAUUCAUCACACACACCACUCCCAUCGCUCAUGACGCGCUUGUCGUCCUUGCCAUUUUUUUUUUGUUACGCUAAUUACGAAGUCUUUCACGUUGUACCAUGAGUCCUGUGGCAGCGCAUUAAGAAAGCCACUUGCCAAAAAUCGGCGUUUGUGUUUCAGCGAUUCUGGACAUUUUAAAUCAUAUCAGAAACAUCCCAAGUGCAAAUAACAUGGUAGUAAACUUUAGCUUAGAUUAAUUUCAAAUCAGAGAUCGUUUAUGAUUAUAAUCAGGGCUGGACAAUAUAGCAGAAAUAUAUUUGUUCGGUUCUUGAAUUUAGUGGUUGAGUUUUGACAUAACUUUUGUUUGACGUGUAUGUAACCUGCUUACUUUCCAGUUUGUACAGGAUUUCGCCUUCUUUUUUUGUGAUUGUUGCGGCCAAACAUGCUCGAUUUCACUACGGAAAAUUACUCAAAUUGGUGAAAUCACAACCUGUCUUUCACAGUGAUGUUUGUUAAUAAGCAAGACCUUUUAUCUGUACUCGUGUUCGAUGCACGUGAAUCGAAGACGGCUUCGGCUGAACGCACGUCGUGACGAGGUCACACACACACACUUUUUUAUAUAUAUAUAUAUAUAUAUAUAUAUAUAUAAAUAAAUACUGAAAUAAAAGUGCAUCAUGACAUCAUUUAUCAUGAUAUCGAUAUAUUUACCAGCCAGCCCUAGUUAUAAUUAUUCGCUCCUGUGAAUAUUAUUGUAUGAAGUUCUUCCUCCUGGUGUAGACACUGGACUUGAGGAGUUAUUGUAUGGAAAAGGCUGCAAACAGCAUCUUCAUGUAAUCUACACUACAUAAGGCAGAUGUAAGUACGUCGAGUCUUUCUUUCUUUUUUUUUUUUUUUUUUUUGAAGAACUUUACUUGUAGAAGGUUGCCCAAAAGAAGAUCAAUAUUAAUAUCUGGGGGAAAAAAGAAGAAAAGAAAAUACCAUGUUACUGUUUUGAUGCAUGAGAAUGGCUCAGUGGCUUUGUUAAUUUAUUUGUACAUUGUGUUAAAUGUGUAUGCACUUUUAAGAAGAUUUUAAACUUUUUUUUUUUUUUUUUUUGGAAGAUUACAUUUAUUUGAGGAAAUCAUUUGUAUUCAUGACAUUGGUUUGCCAAUGUAAGACAAAUGUAAUUAAAAGACAGGCCUACAUUACGAGGUCCGAGAUCAAACCGGUUUUUGGUAGUUUACAGUCUUUUGGGAAAACAAAAAAAACAAACAUGUAUUUUACUUUGUGAUUUAAAACGGUCCACUAGAUGGAGCUUCUCACCUGUGUUGUUUCAGGAUCACACUCUAUGGAAGGUUGAGGUUUGCAUGCGUGUAGUCUUAAAUCUUGCUAUAAAAAAAUGUGCGCAGUGGCAUGGUGUCAGUAUAACGCUGAAUAAUAUACGAGGAGAUCAAAAGAACACACUUUUUUCCAUCAGUCUUCUUCAUGCAGAGUUAUUCCACCAGUUCAGGAAUUAUACAUCGUAUAACAGAUUCAUCCUGAUAUACAAG
ensembl:lncRNA